rnacentral:rRNA from 1 species
GAACGCUGGCGGCAGGCCUAACACAUGCAAGUCGAACGAACCUUUCGGGGUUAGUGGCGGACGGGUGAGUAACACGUGGGCACGUGCCUUUAGGUUCGGAAUAACUCAGGGAAACUUGUGCUAAUACCGAAUGUGCCCUUCGGGGGAAAGAUUUAUCGCCUUUAGAGCGGCCCGCGUCUGAUUAGCUAGUUGGUUGAGGUAAUGGCUCACCAAGGCGACGAUCAGUAGCUGGUCUGAGAGGAUGAUCAGCCACAUUGGGACUGAGACACGGCACAAACUCGGACGGGGGGAGGGAGGGGGGAUACGAGGGAAAUGAGCAAAAAACUGACAAAGCCAUGACGGGAGAAUAAGGAAGAUAUUAGGGUUGAACAAUUCUUUCACCGGUGACGAUAAUGACGGUACCAGGAGAAGAAGCCCCGACUAACUGAGU